GACGAAGGAUGCAAGCGUUAUCCGGAUUCAUUGGGGUUAAAGGGAGCGUAGGUGGCCUUAUAAGUCAGCGGUGAAAUCUCUGGGCUUAACCCAGAAAUUGCCAUUGAUACUGUAGGGCUUGAGUACAGUUGCUGUGGGCGGAAUAUGACAUGUAGUGGUGAAAUACAUAGAGAUGUCAUAGAACACCGAUUGCGAAGGCAGCUCACAAAACUGUAACUGACACUGAGGCUCGAAAGUGCGGGGAUCAAACAGG
rnacentral:rRNA from 1 species